UACGUAGGAGGCGAGCGUUGUCCGGAAUUACUGGGUGUAAAGCGCGUGUAGGCGGCCUGCCAAGUCUGCUGUGAAAGCGCCUGGCUUAACCGGGCGAGGUCGGUGGAAACUGGCGGGCUGGAGGCCGGUAGAGGGGGGUGGAAUUCCCGGUGUAGUGGUGAAAUGCGUAGAGAUCGGGAGGAACACCAGUGGCGAAGGCGGCCCCCUGGGCCGGGCCUGACGCUGAGACGCGAAAGCGCGGGGAGCGAACGGGG
rnacentral:rRNA from 1 species